UAAGACCAAAAAAUCUUCGGU
rnacentral:piRNA from 1 species